GUUCCCAAGAGUACGUCUUGGAUCGGAGCCCCCUGAAAGCCGGAAGAGGGACUAAGAGCCAAGACGAGACACUACCUCCUUCUGGGGAGUGAGUUUAGCAAUCCCUCCCGUAGUUCUGCAUCUUUUCCUUUGUCUCUAGGGCCACCAAGUCUUGCUUCUCAUUAAGAAACCAAAAGGCGUUUGAGAACAAUAGCUGGACUGCAGUCUGGCCGCAAAUAUCACCAUCCUAAACCUGAUAUGAAUUUACAGCACACAACCAGCCUUAACCCUUUAUGUAAC